rnacentral:rRNA from 1 species
UAGGGAAUAUUGGACAAUGGGGGAAACCCUGAUCCAGCAACGCCGCGUGGAUGAUGAAGCUUUUUGGAGUGUAAAAUCCUGUCAGUGGGGACGAAACGUCCGGGUAGGAAAUGCCCCGGGCCUGACUGUACCCGCAGAGGAAGUUCCGGCCAACUCCGUGCCAGCAGCCGCGGUAAUACGGGGGGAACGAGCGUUGUUCGGAUUUACUGGGCGUAAAGGGCACGCAGGCGGGGAGACAAGUCAGAUGUGAAAACCCAUAGCUUAACUCUGGGCCUGCAUUUGAUACUGUUUCUCUUGAGUACGGGAGAGGAUGGCGGAAUUCUUGGUGUAGCGGUGAAAUGCGUAGAUAUCAAGAAGAACACCGGUGGCGAAGGCGGCCAUCUGGCCCGAUACUGACGCUCAUGUGCGAAGGCAAGGGGAGCAAACAGG